rnacentral:rRNA from 1 species
UACGUAGGGUGCAAGCGUUGUCCGGAAUUAUUGGGCGUAAAGAGCUCGUAGGCGGUUUGUCGCGUCUGCUGUGAAAACCCGGGGCUUAACCCCUGGCUUGCAGUGGAUACGGACAGACUAGAGGUAGGUAGGGGAGAAUGGAAUUCCCGGUGUAGCGGUGAAAUGCGCAGAUAUCAGGAGGAACACCGAUGGCGAAGGCAGUUCUCUGGGCCGUAACUGACGCUGAGGAGCGAAAGCGUGGGGAGCGAACAGG